rnacentral:rRNA from 1 species
UACGUAGGGUGCAAGCGUUAAUCGGAAUUACUGGGCGUAAAGCGUGCGCAGGCGGUUUUGUAAGUCUGUCGUGAAAUCCCCGGGCUUAACCUGGGAAUGGCGAUGGAGACUGCAAGGCUAGAGUUUGGCAGAGGGGGGGGUAGAAUUCCACGUGUAGCAGUGAAAUGCGUAGAGAUGUGGAGGAACACCGAUGGCGAAGGCAGCCCCCUGGGCCAAUACUGACGCUCAUGCACGAAAGCGUGGGGAGCAAACAGG